ACGGGACAGCGGGCGAGGGACCGCGGCGGGGUCACCCUCCGCACCGCGCGGGCCUCGGUUCGCCUGCACUUGGUGCAGAGCGUCUUACUGUCCCUCACUGAAACAGAAAACCUCGCGCCAAAAGCUUAUUUUAGUUCCCAGUCUCAGGUAAAUUUCCUGUCACAAGUGCCAGUAAAGUGGACACAGCCUUGCAAGACUUUCUGCUUUCCUUGGACAGGGACCUGUAAACUUUCCAGCCCCCUGAGGCACCUGGAACUGGCCAACCCUGUAGUAGUUAAUGGAUGAAAAGGUUUCCAUCCUGAAGAGGCAGUGCAGAGAAAGGAUGGACGAAUCAUGGAAGGAGACAGUUAUAUCCCUGUAAGAGCCAUAAAGCUGAACACUUAAAUACACACUCGGCCCCGGGCACGUCAGUGGUUCCACUGGAGUGAAGAAAAAUAAUAAUUUGAUAACAUAGAGAAACAGUAUUCUGGACACUGCAACAGAAAAGGAUUCAGGUACAAUAAAAGGAUGUUAUCAGCUGAGACUGAUUCACUCAUUUGAGACAAUCUUUCUCAAAAAAAGAAGCCUGCUAACAUAAAUUUGUGUUUGAACACCAAGAAACAGCUCUCUCCAUUUUGAAAUACCUUUCUGCUUUUCAUACAUCCCACAGCAAAGCGAACUGUUGUGCUCCAAGGCAGGAAAACACUAAUGGUGUUUAAAUGCUAUUACCACAAGAGCACUUUAAUUUGCUUCCUUUACAUUUCAGACAACUUAUCAUUGUUCUAUCAGCAAAGCAGAUUCUAUGGAAAUGAAAAGGGCUAAAAGAAAAAUGGUGUGCCUUUCAUCGUCUCCUUUGUAGCGACGCUGGAGUUAGACACAGCCAGGAUAUACGGGCAGAACAAACACUGGUUUGAGCGUAUCAGCCACGUAAUAACAGGGCACAAUCACUGAGGAAUACUCUGUAAAUGUUGAAGAUGCUGAAUAGACUAAUCUCCAGCACUUCCAGCCCCCACCCAGGGCAGACGUUCUGCAAACAACCUGAAAAUCAACUCACUGCAGCAACAGCUCCCUGAAGAACUGAAGACAUUUUUCAGAAAAGAGCUCCACAGCUUUACAGAGGCUGAAUAAUAUGAAAUAAUAAACAUUUAUUUAAUAA